GUAGGGAAUCUUGCGCAAUGGGCGAAAGCCUGACGCAGCCAUGCCGCGUGAAUGAUGAAGGUCUUAGGAUUGUAAAAUUCUUUCACCGGGGACGAUAAUGACGGUACCCGGAGAAGAAGCCCCGGCUAACUUCGUGCCAGCAGCCGCGGUAAUACGAAGGGGGCUAGCGUUGCUCGGAAUUACUGGGCGUAAAGGGAGCGUAGGCGGAUAGUUUAGUCAGAGGUGAAAGCCCAGGGCUCAACCUUGGAAUUGCCUUUGAUACUGGCUAUCUUGAGUAUGGAAGAGGUAUGUGGAACUCCGAGUGUAGAGGUGAAAUUCGUAGAUAUUCGGAAGAACACCAGUGGCGAAGGCGACUCACUGGCCCGUUACUGACGCUGAGGCGCGAAAGCGUGGGGAGCAAACAGGAUUAGAUACCCUGGUAGUCC
rnacentral:rRNA from 1 species